AGAGUUUGAUCCUGGCUCAGAUUGAACGCUGGCGGCAUGCCUAACACAUGCAAGUCGAACGGUAACAGGUCUUCGGAUGCUGACGAGUGGCGGACGGGUGAGUAAUGCGUAGGAAUCUGUCUUUUAGUGGGGGACGAACCCAGGGAAACUUAGGGCUAAUACCGCAAAAUGAGCCCUGAGGGGGAAAGCGGGGGAGUCUUCGGACCUCGCGCUAAGAGAGGAGCCUACGUCCGAUUAGCUAGUUGGCGGGGUAAAGGCCCACCAAGGCGACGAUCGGUAGCUGGUCUGAGAGGACGACCAGCCACACUGGGACUGAGACACGGCCCAGAC
rnacentral:rRNA from 1 species